UCCUCAAUUCCUCUAUACCCUAGUCGAGAAGCUCAAUAUGGAUACAAUGGUGUAGAUGCUCUCUUGCGGUUUUCUUUACUUAUUUUCUACUAAAACAAACCAAAUUUAUAUCAAUAUGCAAUGUACUAUUAUAUAUAAAAAGGAUAAAUCAUACAUAAAAAGAAGAUGAGUUUACCAAGAAAGACUUAUCUUUUGUGCGUCUAGUGACAAAAGCCUUCCAAUGAGCCUCAUCAAUGAUAUUUUCAUAUUUGGUUAGAAGUUUAACG
rnacentral:lncRNA from 1 species